rnacentral:siRNA from 1 species
GGGUUGGCUCGCUCGGCCG